UACGAAGGGGCUAGCGUUGCUCGGAAUCACUGGGCGUAAAGGGUGCGUAGGCGGGUCUUUAAGUCAGAGGUGAAAUCCUGGAGCUCAACUCCAGAACUGCCUUUGAUACUGAGGAUCUUGAGUACGGGAGAGGUAAGUGGAACUGCGAGUGUAGAGGUGAAAUUCGUAGAUAUUCGCAAGAACACCAGUGGCGAAGGCGGCUCACUGGCCCGUUACUGACGCUGAGGCACGAAAGCGUGGGAGCAAACAGGG
rnacentral:rRNA from 1 species